UACGAAGGGGGCUAGCGUUGCUCGGAAUCACUGGGCGUAAAGCGCACGUAGGCGGGUCGUUAAGUCGGAGGUGAAAUCCUGGGGCUCAACCCCAGAACUGCCUUCGAUACUGGCGGCCUUGAGUCCGGGAGAGGUGAGUGGAACUGCGAGUGUAGAGGUGAAAUGCGUAGAUAUUCGCAAGAACACCAGUGGCGAAGGCGGCUCACUGGCCCGGUACUGACGCUGAGGUGCGAAAGCGUGGGGAGCAAACAGG
rnacentral:rRNA from 1 species